rnacentral:rRNA from 1 species
GAUUUAAGAGCGAGAUUAAAUUGAAGAGUUUGAUCAUGGCUCAGAUUGAACGCUGGCGGCAGGCUUAACA